UACAGAGGUGGCAAGCGUUGUUCGGAAUUACUGGGCGUAAAGGGCGCGUAGGCGGCCUACUAAGUCAGACGUGAAAUCCCCCGGCUUAACCUGGGAACUGCGUCUGAUACUGGAAGGCUUGAGUAUGGGAGAGGGAUGUAGAAUUCCAGGUGUAGCGGUGAAAUGCGUAGAUAUCUGGAGGAAUACCGGUGGCGAAGGCGGCAUCCUGGACCAUUACUGACGCUGAGGCGCGAAAGCGUGGGGAGCAAACAGG
rnacentral:rRNA from 1 species